AGUGAACGCUGGCGGCGUGCUUAACACAUGCAAGUCGAACGAGAACGGAUUAUAGCUUGCUAUAAUUGUCAGCUAAGUGGCGCACGGGUGAGUAAUGUAUAGGUAAUAUGCCUCUUACUAAGGGAUAACAAAUGGAAACGUUUGCUAAUACCUUAUACUCCUUAUUAACAUAAGUUAAGAAGGGAAAGAUUUAUUGGUAAGAGAUUAGCCUGUAUUGUAUCAGUUAGUUGGUGGGGUAAUGGCUUACCAAGACUAUGACACAUAACUGGUUUAAGAGGAUAAUCAGUCACACUGGAACUGAGACACGGUCCAGACUCCUACGGGAGUCAGCAGUGGUGAAUAUUGCACAAUGGACGAAAGUCUGAUGCAGCAACGCCGCGUGGAGGAUGACACAUUUCGGUGCGUAAACUCCUUUUAUAUGAGAAGAUAAUGACGGUAUUAUAUGAAUAAGCACCGGCUAACUCCGUGCCAGCCGCCGCCGUAA
rnacentral:rRNA from 1 species